rnacentral:rRNA from 1 species
AGAGUUUGAUCCUGGCUCAGAUUGAACGCUGGCGGCAUGCCUUACACAUGCAAGUCGAACGGUAACAGGUUAAGCUGACGAGUGGCGAACGGGUGAGUAAAGUAUCGGAACGUGCCCAGUCGUGGGGGAUAACGUAGCGAAAGUUACGCUAAUACCGCAUGAGAUCCAUGGAUGAAAGCGAGGGAUCGCAAGACCUCGCGCGAUUGGAGCGGCCGAUAUCAGAUUAGGUAGUUGGUGGGGUAAAGGCCCACCAAGCCGACGAUCUGUAGCUGGUCUGAGAGGACGACCAGCCACACUGGGACUGAGACACGGCCCAGACUCCUACGGGAGGCAGCAGUGGGGAAUUUUGGACAAUGGGCGCAAGCCUGAUCCAGCCAUGCCGCGUGCAGGAUGAAGGCCUUCGGGUUGUAAACUGCUUUUGUACGGAACGAAAGGUUCUGCCCUAAUACGGUGGGAAUAUGACGGUACCGUAAGAAUAAGCACCGGCUAACUACGUGCCAGCAGCCGCGGUAAUACGUAGGGUGCGAGCGUUAAUCGGAAUUACUGGGCGUAAAGCGUGCGCAGGCGGUUAUGUAAGACAGAUGUGAAAUCCCCGGGCUCAACCUGGGAACUGCAUUAGUGACUGCAUAGCUGGAGUACGGCAGAGGGGGAUGGAAUUCCGCGUGUAGCAGUGAAAUGCGUAGAUAUGCGGAGGAACACCGAUGGCGAAGGCAAUCCCCUGGGCCUGUACUGACGCUCAUGCACGAAAGCGUGGGGAGCAAACAGGAUUAGAU